CCCCGACGUCGCGGGCCGGGCGCGCGCAGACCCGGGGCCGACGCCCCCGCCGCGCGGCCCCAGGCCCGCCCCCGCCCCUCGGAGGUUUUCGCUUUCGCUUUCCUGCCGCGGUCGUUGAGGAAAAUAAAGCGGCCGUGACCAGAGCCGGCGCAGUUGCGAUCCGGCCGAAGGGCUCGGGGGUGCGGCGGCGGCCGGCUCGGAACCGGGGUCCCAGGGCCGCGGCCCGCGCCGGGCGAGAUGGCAGCACGCCCUGGACCUCCUUGCAAGGGAGGCCGCGCUGAGGCCGGACAGCAGAGAAAUGAGAAAAUGGACUCCCUUCUCCUGGAGAUGUGAAUGCCAGCCACCAGCUGUGGGUGCUAGAGUUCCCAACCGACUGGAGGCAAACAACAGCCACAGGAGUGGUUAGCAGCAUCACUGACCCCUACCCACUGGAUGCCAGCAGCAACCUCCUUCCCAGAGCUGUGACAACUGAAAGCAUCUUGUCUUCAGACUUAAAUUAAAUUCAGCAUAGACUCUGAAGGCCAGCCUCACCGCUCAGCCAGCUGAGGCAGGGACUUCUGCAAUCCCGCCUCCAGAAAAGCAGCAGAGAUGUGUCUCUUGGGAGCUGCCUGGAUCCAGGAAGACCAGGUAACCAGCCUGCCGAGCCCUUGUUCUGUCUUCGACUUAGCCCUGCCUGAAGGGAGCCUUGGAUGAUAAAGCCAUAUCCUACCCUGCUAGGUUCUUUCACCCCUGGAAGAAGAGUUUGUGAGCUCCCUGGUUACCCACCCAAGCUUCCUGCCUAUGUGGCAGCUGGCAGGCAAAUGGAAGGGUUUGUGCUGAGUCCUGAUGGACUGCACACAUCCCCAGUAUGAAGUGAGUCACACUCAAGUGAAGAAAUAGCGUGACAGAGACAAAGCUGGCAGUAGGGGCACUGUGUUAGCUCUGGGUCCUCCAGCAGGGCUCCCUCGAGAAGUCUCUUGCACACCAACACAAGAGCGGGUUUGGGAUCUGUGCAAACAGCGUGAAAGAAGACCAAGUGGCCCCAGAGAUUCUGACCGUCUGGACACGAGCCAGCCCUUCCAACCAAGUACAUCACUUGCCUAGCAAAGGACUCCACCUCUCAUCAGGCUCAGGGCCAUCGUAUCAGUUCUGUCCUUGGCAGGCCUUCCUGGAGACAUCCAAGGAGAUCUGAGAAAGUUGUUAUCUUUGGAGCUAUGGCAGUCGCAACACCCUGCAUGCAGCGCCCUGAAAGAUGCCAAAUGCUGAUGCAAGGGAUGGUUUGUGUACCAGCCUCGCGCUUUCGUCCUGUUGCCAAGUGAGCUGCACAAAAGAACAAAAACACAGCCCAGCCAAAGUGCCACUUUUGGAUCAAGCAAGGAAACCCUGUGACUAACCACAAGUGCCCUUGGACAUGUGCAACACUUGACCCAUCGUAGGAGUUCUCAUUGGUGUGGUAGAGCCCCACGUGGGCAGUUCACUGCAUUGGAAAGCGGGCCUUCAGGAAAAUGAUGUCAUCAUAACCCCCAUUAAAACAAGUCUUCCAGUGGCCACCUGGCUCAUCAACCAAGAGCUUCCACCAGCGGUGCUUAGAAACUCUUGAGAGUGACUCAGGGCAGUGCUGGCACGUCCUCAGAAUGAUGCAAAAUCCUUAGGCCCAAGUUCAGUUCCAUCCCAUGCAUUGUUUGACUGAAGGGUUAAUGUCAGCUUGGCCCUGCCCUUGGACGAGCAGUCAGACCUCAGUGUUUCUGUUUUUGGGUGAGGACUGAGCCCAUAUGGGAUGAUGACAUAGCUCUCCCUCCUGGAUAAUCUGUCUCAGUCCCACACUCUCCCUCCAGGCCUCAUCUCUAGGACAUGGUGUCCUUAUGGCAGGAGUGUGACAUGUGGGGGUCCCUUCCUGGACAUUCCAACGAGUUGGCCCCCAUCACUUAGGACUCCUAGGACUGGAAGACCUGGUUCUGAAGACUGGACCUCAUUCUUCUCAUGUUUUGCUAAUUUACUUUAACUUUGCUUAUGGAGCUUGAGAGAUUCCGUGGCUGCCUGGGACUUAACUGUACCCACUUCCUAUCCUCCACCAGGGGUCAAGUUCAAGGACAGAAAGGGAACAGAAGCCAGAGAAGGCCAUGCUGCCUGUUCUGAGUUGCAUCCCUCCCUCCCAUGACUCAGAGCCCUCUGCCUGGUUCCACAAUACCCCGGCCAUCACUAACAGAAAAAGCCACCCCAUCUGAUUCUUCAUAGUCCUUGAGGAACUGGGUAAGGCCACCUUGUCUCUCCCUCUGCCCCCAGGUGAGAUUACUCUUAAAAGAUUCAAAAGGGGACCAGUGUUGUGGUAUAGUGAAUGAAGCCACCACCUACAGUGCCAGCAUCCUAUAUGGGCUCCAGUUCAUGUCCUAGCUGUUCCACUUCUGACCCGGCUCUCUGCUAAUGUGCCUAGGAAAAGCAGCGGAAGAUGGCCCAAGUGUUGGGCUCCUGCCACCCAAGUUGAAGAACUGGAUGAAGCUCCUGGCUCCUGGCUUCAGCCUGGCCCAGCUCUAGGUAUUGUGACUAUCUGGGGAGUGAACCAGCAGAUAAAAGAUCUCUCUCUCCCUUUCUCUUGUAAGUCUUCCAAAUAAAUAAAGUUUUAAAAAAAAUUUAAGAAGAUCCAGGUGAAUCUUCUGAUGGGCAGGGUUUGUAUUCAGGUACCCACAUACAGAGGAAGACCCACCCAGCAGGAGCCCUCCUGUCUCACACAGCAUCUCCAAGUCCAGGGACCAGUGUUCUGAGCUUGACUGACAUUAAGCUCAUUUUCCAGUUCUCAUCAUUUUCUCACUCUGCCUUCCCUCCCCACCAAGGGCCCACAUGCCUUCCAGAGUGACAGCCUAGGAAGGGAGUCACAGCCCACCUGGUUUCUGGGACUGAGAACCCAGAAGACACAUCUGUCUCUGAGCAAUGCCAUGCCUUCCCCGGGUGGUGCCAGGGAUGCCAGCCAGCUUCUCUGGGCCAGCUACCCCAACACUGGGUGUUGUUUAUGCACCAGAGACUGCGGAGGGGAGACAGGACAAGCCCUUCAGCAAACCUUCCACCCGCCUACUUAAAGGGGCAUUGUCCUAUGUCUGCAGUCCCCAAACCGUGGUCUUCAGAAACUGUUCUGAUCAGAUAUACCCCUUCUAAGGCAUGUGGUGUAUAAACAAAAACAAAACAAAACAAAAACCUAUUUCAUUUAAGGUUAAGGUUUUCCUAAGGCAUUUGUGCAUGGACCUGUCACAGUACCUUGCAACAAUAGUUGUUGACUGUUAACAUAGUAAAAUUCUCUUGAUGGGCAAGUUAACAGGCACAGUGACCUCCAACCCCUUAAGCCCCUCCUCCUCAGAUCUACUGCCAAUCCAGUAUCUAUUUGCAGCAUCCAAUAUGGUAGCCACUGGCCACACAUAGUUGUUUAAAUCCCAAUUAACUAAAUAAAAUUAAAACUCAGUUCCUCCAUUGCACUGGCCAUAUUUCCAGUGCCCAGCUGUGACAUGUGACUGGUGGCAGUGCAUACUGUACGCAUCAGUGCAGAAGAACUCUGCCAUUACUCUAGAAAUCAGACGGCAAGGAAGACGCAGCCCAGGAGCCCUUAGGGGCUGGUGUCUGUGCCUAUCAUCUGAAGAUGUGUUCAUCAACUGUGUACUUUUUGUAGUAACAGAAAGUUACUGUGUGUUCAGCAGGACACCAGAUCGAUGACAUUCCUCAGAAGUCAAAACAUAACACUCCCUAGGCCUAGGAGCCCAGACCUGACUCCCAGCUAUGGCUGUGAAGGCAGCACCAACUGACCACGCCGACUGAGCACAUCCCAGCGGUACCGCUGUCCCCGGCUCCUGCUACAUUCCGGGUGAACAAAUUCAGAGUCUCAGAAUGGAUGUG